rnacentral:rRNA from 1 species
UGUCGUCAGCUCGUGUUGUGAAAUGUUGGGUUAAGUCCCGCAACGAGCGCAACCCUUAUCCUUUGUUGCCAGCGGUCCGGCCGGGAACUCAAAGGAGACUGCCAGUGAUAAACUGGAGGAAGGUGGGGAUGACGUCAAGUCAUCAUGGCCCUUACGACCAGGGCUACACACGUGCUACAAUGGCGCAUACAAAGAGAAGCGACCUCGCGAGAGCAAGCGGACCUCAUAAAGUGCGUCGUAGUCCGGAUUGGAGUCUGCAACUCGACUCCAUGAAGUCGGAAUCGCUAGUAAUCGUGGAUCAGAAUGCCACG